CACAUACUCCCUCCAUUCGAAAUUAAUUGUCGCAGAAAUGGAUGUAUCUAGACAUAUUUUAGUUCUAAAUACAUCCAUUUCCGAGACAAGUAAUUCCGAACAGAGGGAGUAUGAU
rfam:Triticum aestivum genome assembly, contig: Triticum_aestivum_CS42_TGACv1_scaffold_212675_3AS